GCCGGGCAUGGUGGUGGGUGCCUGUAAUCCCAGCUACUUGGGAGGCUGAGACAGAAGAAUUGCUUGAACCCAGGAGGCAGAGGUUACAGUGAGCCUAGAUUGUGCCACUGCUCUCCAGCCUGGGUGACAAAGCAACACUCAGUCUCAA
rfam:Gorilla gorilla gorilla genomic chromosome, chr3, whole genome shotgun sequence